rnacentral:rRNA from 1 species
AGCGAGCGCUGGCGGCAGGCCUAACACAUGCAAGUCGAACGAACCUUUCGGGGUUAGUGGCGGACGGGUGAGUAACACGUGGGAACGUGCCUUUAGGUUCGGAAUAACUCAGGGAAACUUGUGCUAAUACCGAAUGUGCCCUUCGGGGGAAAGAUUUAUCGCCUUUAGAGCGGCCCGCGUCUGAUUAGCUAGUUGGUUGAGGUAAUGGCUCACCAAGGCGACGAUCAGUAGCUGGUCUGAGAGGAUGAUCAGCCACAUUGGGACUGAGACACGGCCCAAACUCCUACGGGAGGCAGCAGUGGGGAAUCUUGCGCAAUGGGCGAAAGCCUGACGCAGCCAUGCCGCGUGAAUGAUGAAGGUCUUAGGAUUGUAAAAUUCUUUCACCGGGGACGAUAAUGACGGUACCCGGAGAAGAAGCCCCGGCUAACUUCGUG